rnacentral:rRNA from 1 species
AUUGAACGCUGGCGGCAGGCCUAACACAUGCAAGUCGAGCGGGGUUUUCGGACCUAGCGGCGGACGGGUGAGUAAUGCGUAGGAAGCUACCCGAUAGAGGGGGAUACCAGUUGGAAACGACUGUUAAUACCGCAUAAUGUCUACGGACCAAAGUGUGGGACCUUCGGGCCACAUGCUAUCGGAUGCGCCUACGUGGGAUUAGCUAGUUGGUGAGGUAAUGGCUCACCAAGGCGACGAUCCCUAGCUGGUUUGAGAGGAUGAUCAGCCACACUGGAACUGAGAAACGGGCCAGACUCCUACGGGAGGCAGCAGUGGGGAAUAUUGGACAAUGGGCGAAAGCCUGAUCCAGCCAUGCCGCGUGUGUGGAGAAGGUCUUCGGAUUGUAAAGCACUUUAAGUUGGGAGGAAGGGCAGUAAGUUAAUACCUUGCUGUUUUGACGUUACCGACAGAAUAAGCACCGGCUAACUACGUGCCAGCCGCCGCGGUAAGAC